rnacentral:tRNA from 1 species
GGGGCCGUGCCUGAGCGCCCAAGGGCCACUUUGAUAGAGUGAACCACGAAGGUUAGAACCCUUCCGGCCCCU